CACAGCCUUGAAGGUAUCCUGGAAGGGGUGCUGGAGCGGUGGGGAGUGAAGAUGCCGGAAUGAGUACGCGCGAAUGGGGGGGAGGAUCCCCCACACCGAAAGCCUAAGGGUUCCGGAGCCAGGGUCAUCCGCUCCGGGUCAGCCGGCCCCUAAGCCGAGGCCGAGAGGCGUAGGCGAUGGGAAACGGGUCAAGAUUCCCGUGCCGGGUGAGAUGUGUUGAGCGUCAGGGGGGACGCGGAAGCAGAAGAGCCGUCGGGUGCAGGACGUCCCGAUGCAACGGAGUAGCCUGGAAGGGGGAGAAA
rnacentral:rRNA from 1 species